rnacentral:lncRNA from 1 species
UUCAACUAGAAGGACAGAAACUGAAAUUUCCACCCAGCAUAAAAUAAAACUUCAUACAAAUUAAUCCAACACUUUUAAAUUCUUGUUAACAUGCACUGUAUAAAAAUGGAACAAAAUAAACAUUAAAAAGCAUUUCUAAAAGUUCAUCUAAGUUCCAUGAAAUAUUUACAUAAAUAGAAAUAUUCACUAGAAAUUGAAAGAAUUAGAGAUUGCCGAACACUUGCCAGUAUGCCAACCAUUGCCAUGCCUCGAUCUUAACCUGUAAAAUUAUUUGUAGGGAUGAGUACUAUAAAUAAUACUCAGUAGGAAACACUUAAGUAAACGGUAAAAAUAUAUAUUUUCAGAAAUGCAAACUUUGGUCAAUUGUGUCACUGUCAAUUUCAAGCGAAUUGAUGAUCAGUCAGUCCGCUUACUCUUAGGUUUUGAUAACCCCAUUUCAUUUGUCAUAAUCAUCUCUUCAUCUCUUGUUUAAACCACUAAACGGUGAUUCCAUCAUGAGCAACACAAUAACACAUUUAAUGCAAACGAAAAUAUAUAAAUCUUACAUUACUUACAUAAGUGCCGAAACACCCCUACCUUAAUGCUUGGAAUUUGAAAUAUCCUUUCAUGUCCAAAGAAUAAAAUGCAGCGUACAUCUUGCCCUUUUCUUAGAAGUUUUCAGAUUCAAAGUUCUUUUUGUCUAUGAAAGAAGGGGCAAAAUAAUUUGAUGCAAUAAGGAUAAUAGGGAGAGAGAGAUAGUGGCCGUGUAGAAUUAUAAAAUGGGAGUUACAAGUUUUUAAUUGCAAUGGUGGUAGGAGUUGUAUUUAAAAUUGGGGUUACACUUGAGGAAAUGGGGGUGGUUGAAAUUUUAAAAUGUUAACUUCCAAAUGGAUAUGGAUAGAUACGUGUAGGUUAUCAUCCCACUAACCAAAUGGUAGUUUUAAAAACAAAAUGGCAGUUAACAAAAUGGAGAUUAAUAUGCUAAGAUAGGGUUGGUUAGAGUUGGAGGUUACAAUGGAUAAUAAAGUGGGGGUAAUGGAUAAAAAUUGGAGUUGAAAUUUUAUUUUCAAAUGAAUGAUCGGGGACGGUUUUGGCAUUGACAAAAAUGGAAGUUUAUUAGAAUGAUAAGUUGGAGAAUAAAUGAUGGAUGAUGAAACAUGCAAGUAAUUUGUCCAAAUAAAAAAAAAAUAGUUUACAUAAUGGAAACAAAAAUGGUAGUAUUAAAAUAAAGUGUGUCGUAAGAAAAAUAAUGUAGCCAAAUCAACAUAAAAUUUUGUCGGUUAAAAGUGAUUUUAACACCUUGUAAAAUUUAAGAAAAUCAAGUACGUGAAAUUUUACUUUCGUGACCAAAAUUUAAUUUAGACUAUUAGGAAGUGUCGUAGCGACAAAAUAAUAUAACCCCAAUUAUAUUUGAGUCCUAUAAGAAAGUUUUAUUUGAAACGAACAAAAACACAUUUUUUUUUCCGAUCGCUACAUUGUCCUAUUACCUCAAUAAAGAUCGCUCAGUAGGAAUAAAAAGGCUUUUAGCUUUGCUUUUUCAACUUUUCAGUUCUAAACCCAAACGUUUUGCUUAUUUUUAAUUAGGUCUUACACUUAGUUACAUCUUUCUUGAUUAAUUUCAUUUUAGUAUAUAGCUAAUUUUUAUUUAUCCGUUCUUCAAGGGUUAUUUAUAAAUUUACAUUAACAAAUUUGAUGAGGUUCGUGUAGAAGAACAAGCACUCGCAUAUUUGGAAUGCUUGGAUUGUCGGCGUUCGAGGAAUUGAGCAUAACUUUUGCAAACGGUGUCCGUUCUGGGCUCAUAAGUACUUUUCGAAAAGGUAGCGACCAUUUUGGAUUGAACUCAAUGCUUUGCCAUGACGUAUGAGGAAUUUUGGCCGUUUGAGAUCAUUUGUUGGGUUAAAACUGCAUUUCAAAUUUAUUAGUUUAUCUUUUUUUAAUAUUUCUUACUUUUAUGUUGUAGCUCAGCCCAUUUAGGGGCUGCUAGCCCAAUAGUUUACCUAAUUCUUAUCGUACUUAAACCCUCCAAAAACGUGUGUUUGUUUUCUUGGUUGUUGAAGAAAUAAAGAAGUUAUUGUUUCUUGCAUCAAUCCGUAAGAGCGAAUAUUUGUUUGAGUUUGUACAUCAGAUCUACAUCAAAAUUUAAGAUGGUCCGCAUAAAUAAAUCUUACUGGACGCAUUAUACUGUGAUUAAGGUAAUGACCAGAGGCAUGAAAGUGUAUACAAUGAUUCCUUUGAUUAUCAAUAAAACAUACUUUAACUCGAACAUAGCCAGCAUGCAUGUAUGGAAUUAGACUUCAAAUGCUAUGCUGUAGUAGAAACCUUCUCCAAGUUGAGAUUCACCCCCUAGAAGUGGAGUAUGACAUUUUCCUUUGAAAAAUAUUUUAUGUUGGGAAAUAUGGUUGAGCAGUUCCUAAGAUAAUUUAUGUGGUUGGCUUAAAAGAUAUGGCGUCAGGGUGGAAGUUACUAAUUAUAGACAUAUUCCAAAUCUUAUGGAGACUUGAAAUUGAUUUAUUUGAUGUUAUAUGAUGUCUUUAAUGACUGUACAAACAAAAUGCUGAAACUGUCUAGUGGAUCUCAUCGUACACCUGGUUCGAUUAUGAACGGCCAUCCUGGAAUGUAUGUUUUGAAUUUUGGGGUGAAAUAGAUUUCUGAGUUUUCGAGCCUCUGAAGUUGGCUAUGCGUUUUUAAUUGAAAGAUGAAACUGCCGGAAAGGAAACUGUUUUGUGUACAUUGAGAAUUCAUUUGAAGGCCUUAUUGGAUGAAUUAAAUCAUGAAAUUUUAAUAUGUUUGAGAUUAAUAAAUUAUGAAUUUACCAUCUGAAUUUCAGAAGUUAUUAUGAUCAUUUAGGGUGUUAAAUGUUAACCUGAAACUGUAUCGUUCAGGAAAAAAAUUUGACGCACAGUGACUAUAUAUGGGGUAUUUUUAGUAAAGAGAGGAUGGAUCAAUAAGGAUAUGUAUUGAAUAUAGGGCUUGGAUCCAUGUGACUGUUAACAAUAAAUAGACGUUUACAAGGAUAGAGAACUUAUUUGAUCAGGUGAAAGGUGUAAAGGUAUUUUAAAAAAUCAUUUUGAGAUCAAGUUGUCGCCAGCUCAAAAAUAAAGGACUGUGAUAUUACUGAGAAGUCAUUUAGAAUUCAAUAUAGCUUACCCAAAGUUUUUUUAAUGUCCCUUAGCUUUAGGAUAAUAUGAUGGAUUGUAUUGGAAGGAAUUAAAGGAUAAGGACCUUUAAGAAGAAGAAUAUUAGAGGAUUUAUCUUAAUUUCCUUCUAUCUUGGGUAUGAACAAGAGUUUUUCUAGUCUAAGAAAUUAUCAGUGAAGAUAACGCAGUACGAGAAAACUAGAGGUUUUCACAUAGUUUGUUCCAUAUCUAGUGGACACAGAGAAACCAUGGAUUAAAUUCUUAGUACGUGGGCUAAGGACGAAUUUAUUGAAAGCAAGGACAAUAUUUAGGAUUUUUAUGCAGUGUGAAGUAUUAGAAAGGACACUAAUCAUAGUAAUCGAGCAGACCACAUUUACUUGUUACCUAACACUACAAAAAGAGCAGCUUUAGAGAUGGAAAUUUCCAUCCCUAACUUCUUAAAUUCUGUAGCUAACAGCCUUUACCGACAAAAUCAAUCCUUCGAAAAUCUUCGCCGCUAAUUUAGCAACGAAUUCCUUAGCUGUUGUUAAAUAGCGACGAAAAAAUCGUCGGUGUUUAAUGAGGACUUAUUCCGUAGCUAAUUAGCAACAACAAUUUUUUUUUUUUUUGUCUCAGAUUACCUACGGAUUAAAUCCGUCUAUGAUUACGAACGGACUUCCGUUGUUCUUUCCAUCACUAAUUUGAAUUAAAAUUUAAAAGAAAAAUUGAAUUAUUAUUUUAGUCAUUCUUUUAUUGAGAACAUAAUAUAUUAAAGUUUAAACUCAAAAGUAAAUAAAAUAAAUUUCAAUAAGAUGUACCAAAUAACUAAAGAUGAACAUGAAAUUGUAAGCAUCUCCAACUCUAAGCUUCUUCUCUUUCAGCUUUGAGCUCCAACCUUAUAAUUCUUUCAUUCAGUUUUUCCUUCUCAUAAUCUUGCUCUGCAACAUGCUUGAACAAUUAUAGGUAAGGGACAGGAACAGUAGUUACGUUCUAACUAAGCCUGGAAAAGAGAUAAGCUUAGCCAAACAUGCAUUUAAGCUUCUUGAAUUCAAACACAUAAUGACAAUGAAAACAAAUCCAAAGCAGUCGUAGUUGACUACAAUUCUCUGCUGAUGUUAGUUACCUACUCUUUGUGCUAAAGGAGAUUUUCUCCUGUUAAAUAACAUUAAUGGCCAGAGCAGUUGAGAAUCAUACGACAUUGAGAAACUUGAAGUUAAGUACGGAUGAUUUGCUGAAUGAAGAAAUAAUAUAGAUAUAAUCUAGAAAUAUGGUAGCUGCUUUCCGAUAUGAGUUGAGCAAUAAUUUUAGACAAAAGGAAAUUGAAUGACUGGCAAGAAGUGGCUUUAUAAAGGUAAUACAUGCUAUAGGAAGGAAGGUGAUUUCGUUCUUAAAUGUUUGUAUGAAGAACAAGUAAAGCCUUAACUAGAAUCUACUAACAUUAAAAAAAAAAAA